CCUUGUACACACCGCCCGUCACACCAUGGGAGUUUGUUGCUCCAGAAGUGGCCCCGCCAACCGCAAGGAGGCAGGUCCCCAAGGAGUGACAGGUAACUGGGGUG
rnacentral:rRNA from 1 species